rnacentral:rRNA from 1 species
GCGCUUACCUUAGGGUUUCCUCUGGGGUAAGUGAUUGCUUCUACACUGUGAAAAUUUGGCUGAGAGACUCAGACUGGUCAUGGGUAGACCUAUCUGGGGUUUGAUCGAUGCCACUCCUGGUUUCAGGAGUACCCUUCAUAAUAAACCUAGAAAUUCAGUAUUAUAAAGUUUAAUAAAAAACAACUUUUAACAAUGGAUCUCUUGGUUCUCGCAUCGAUGAAGAACGUAGCAAAGUGCGAUAACUAGUGUGAAUUGCAUAUUCAGUGAAUCAUCGAGUCUUUGAACGCAGCUUGCACUCUAUGGUUUUUCUAUAGAGUACGCCUGCUUCAGUAUCAUCACAAACCCACACAUAACAUUUGUUUAUGUGGUGAUGGGUCGCAUCGCUGUUUUAUUACAGUGAGCACCUAAAAUGUGUGUGAUUUUCUGUCUGGCUUGCUAGGCAGGAAUAUUACGCUGGUCUCAGGAUCUUUUUUUUUGGUUCGCCCAGGAAGUAAAGUACAAGAGUAUAAUCCAGUAACUUUCAAACUAUGAUCUGAAGUCAGGUGGGAUUACCCGCUGAACUUAAGCAUAUCAAUAAGCGGAGGAAAAGAAAAUAACAAUGAUUUCCCUAGUAACGGCGAGUGAAGAGGAAAGAGCUCAAAGUUGGAACCUGUUUGGCCUAGCUAAACCGGAUUGUAGACUGUAGAAGUGUUUUCCAGGCAAGCCGAGUAAAUAAGUCCUUUGGAACAGGGCAUCAUAGAGGGUGAGAAUCCCGUCUUUGGCUUGAGCAUUUGCCUUUUGUGAUACGCUUUCAAAGAGUCAGGUUGUUUGGGAAUGCAGCCUAAAUUGGGUGGUAAAUCUCACCUAAAGCUAAAUAUUGGCGAGAAACCGAUAGCGAACAAGUACCGUGAGGGAAAGAUGAAAAGAACUUUGAAAAGAGAGUUAAACAGUAUGUGAAAUUGUUAAAAGGGAACCGUUUGGAGCCAGACUGGCUUGUCUGUAAUCAAUCUAGGCUUCGGCCUGGAUGCACUUGCAGGCUAUGCCUGCCAACGACAAUUUGACUUGAGGGAAAAAACUAGGGGAAAUGUGGCCCACUUGUGGGUGUUAUAGUCCCUUAGAAAAUACCUUGGGUUGGAUUGAGGAACGCAGCGAAUGCUUAUUGGCGAGUUUUCCAGGAAGGUUUUCUGAGGUACUACGGUAUCAAGGUUGAUCUUUUUGGUUAUACUUCUAU